rnacentral:rRNA from 1 species
UACGGAAGGCAGCAGUGGGGAAUAUUGCACAAUGGGCGCAAGCCUGAUGCAGCCAUGCCGCGUGUAUGAAGAAGGCCUUCGGGUUGUAAAGUACUUUCAGUCGUGAGGAAGGUGUUAAGGUUAAUAACCUUAGCAAUUGACGUUAGCGACAGAAGAAGCACCGGCUAACUCCGUGCCAGCAGCCGCGGUAAUACGGAGGGUGCGAGCGUUAAUCGGAAUUACUGGGCGUAAAGGGCACGCAGGCGGUUAAUUAAGUUGGAUGUGAAAUCCCCGGGCUUAACCUGGGAAUGGCAUUCAAGACUGGUUAGCUAGAGUCUUGUAGAGGGGGUAGAAUUCCAUGUGUAGCGGUGAAAUGCGUAGAGAUGUGGAGGAAUACCGGUGGCGAAGGCGGCCCCUGGACAAAGACUGACGCUCAUGUGCGAAAGCGUGGGGAGGCAAACAGGGAUUAGAUACC